AGUGGGGAAUAUUGCACAAUGGACGAAAGUCUGAUGCAGCAACGCCGCGUGGAGGAUGACACAUUUCGGUGCGUAAACUCCUUUUAUAUGAGAAGAAAAUGACGGUAUCAUAUGAAUAAGCGCCGGCUAACUCCGUGCCAGCAGCCGCGGUAAUACGGAGGGCGCAAGCGUUACUCGGAAUCACUGGGCGUAAAGAGAGUGUAGGCGGGUGUUUAAGUUGGAAGUGAAAUCCUAUGGCUCAACCAUAGAACUGCUUCCAAAACUGAAUACCUAGAAUAUGGGAGAGGUAGAUGGAAUUUCUGGUGUAGGGGUAAAAUCCGUAGAGAUCAGAAGGAAUACCGAUUGCGAAGGCGAUCUACUGGAACAUUAUUGACGCUGAGACUCGAAAGCGUGGGGAGCAAACAGGAUUAGAUACCCUGGUAGUCCACGCCCUAAACGAUGUACAUUAGUUGUUGCGAUGCUAGACAUUGCAGUAAUGCAGUUAACACAUUAAAUGUACCGCCUGGGGAGUACGGUCGCAAGAUUAAAACUCAAAGGAAUAGACGGGGACCCGCACAAGCGGUGGAGCAUGUGGUUUAAUUCGACGAUACGCGAAGAACCUUACCUGGCCUUGACAUAGAAAGAAUUUAGCAGAGAUGUAAAAGUGCUAGUUUACUAGAGCUUUCAUACAGGUGCUGCACGGCUGUCGUCAGCUCGUGUCGUGAGAUGUUAGGUUAAGUCCUGCAACGAGCGCAACCCUCGUGUUUAGUUACUAACAGAUUAUGCUGAGGACUCUAGACAUACUGCCUGGGCAACCAGGAGGAAGGUGAGGACGACGUCAAGUCAUCAUGGCCCUUAUGGCCAGGGCUACACACGUGCUACAAUGGGGUAUACAAAGAGCCGCAAUACCGCGAGGUGGAGCAAAUCUCAUAAAAUAUCUCCCAGUUCGGAUUACACUCUGCAACUCGAGUGUAUGAAGUUGGAAUCGCUAGUAAUCGUAGAUCAGCAAUGCUACGGUGAAUACGU
rnacentral:rRNA from 1 species